rnacentral:rRNA from 1 species
UACAGAGGGGGCAAGCGUUAUUCGGAAUUAUUGGGCGUAAAGGGCGCGUAGGCGGCUUUGCAAGUGGCGGGUGAAAUCCCUCGGCUUAACCGAGGAACUGCCUGCCAGACUGUGAGGCUUGAGACCGGGAGAGGUGAGUGGAAUUCCCAGUGUAGCGGUGAAAUGCGUAGAUAUCUGGAGGAACACCGGUGGCGAAGGCGGCAUCCUGGACCGACACUGACGCUGAGGAGCGAAAGCCAGGGGAGCAAAGCGGG